rnacentral:rRNA from 1 species
AUUGAACGCUGGCGGCAUGCCUUACACAUGCAAGUCGAACGGCAGCACGGGAGAAAUCCUGGUGGCGAGUGGCGAACGGGUGAGUAAUACAUCGGAACGUGCCCAGUAGUGGGGGAUAGCCCGGCGAAAGCCGGAUUAAUACCGCAUACGACCUACGGGUGAAAGCGGGGAUCGCAAGACCUCGCGCUAUUGGAGCGGCCGAUGUCAGAUUAGCUUGUUGGUGGGGUAAAAGCCUACCAAGGCGACGAUCUGUAGCUGGUCUGAGAGGACGACCAGCCACACUGGGACUGAGACACGGCCCAGACUCCUACGGGAGGCAGCAGUGGGGAAUAUUGGACAAUGGGCGCAAGCCUGAUCCAGCGAUGCCGCGUGUGUGAAGAAGGCCUGCGGGUU